GAAGACUCAUAAACAGACAGUCGACUAAAAGCGGGCAAUGGAGAGAGAGAAAACAGAAGGUAACAGAGAUAAAAGAUCGAAGAAGGCGAGAGAGAGAGAGAGAGAGUGUGAUCGAAGAAAGCUGGUAAUGGAGGAAUCAAUCUUUUUUUCCUAAUAACUUGAAGGAGGAAUUCCACCUAUACGGAUGGAAAUUAAUCAAGUGCAAGCAGAUAGAAGAUCUCCUUAAUUGGAUUACUGGCACAAGGGACCCUACAUGAACAUCACUUUUACCAGGAACUCCCCGUUAUGACUUCCAGAUUGGUUCUGGCAGUCACCCACCUCAUCCCCAACCAGUCAUUGCCGAUAGUUUACCCGUAGAGGAAACUCAAGGACUUAAGCAUACGUUUACUAACAUGGACACAGACAAUUUCCUUUCCCUACAUGUCAGGGUGAUGUCGACAGUAACGGGACAAUUGAUUACAUGGAAUUUAUAGCUGCGACGAUGCAUCGAUACACACUGGAGAGGGAUGAAUAUCUCUACAAGGCAUUCCAGCAUUUUGACACAACAGUGGGAAGACCAUGUAAUGGUGCGGAUGUGCUACCAGAUUUGGCUGGGGCUUUGAAGCCUUUGUCUCCAAAGCAAUAACGCUCUAUAGACCUAUAUGAACUUGCACAAUCCACCAAAAUUGUUGUUGAGGAACUUGCUCUACACCAGGCUCUUAACAAUCUAAUUGAGGGUGCUUUGUUGAUUUCCAGAGAUGCCCCAGCACAUCGUGCUCUUGGAAUAAUCAAUCACAAUGGGCCUGAUAUGUCAAGUCUAUUGUUACUCAUUUUUUGUUGAUCAAAAUUUUGGUGUAAUAAUCUAGACUU